CCUUAGAGGAGCUCUCCUGGGAUAUUUUUGUAAAUCUUCGAUCUAAUCUUUUUUUACCAUCUCUUGAAAUUUCUCUUUCGUUUGGAAUCAAAAAGUCAUUGAGAACCAAACAUUUCUUGAAGGCCUGAUAGCUUCGAAGUCCUCAUAGCCUUGAAGACCUGCUGAUAGCCUCAAAGACCUGCUGAUAGCUUCGAAGGCCUGAUAGCAUCGAAGACCUGAU
rnacentral:lncRNA from 1 species